GUGCCAGCCGCCGCGGUAAUACGGGGGUGGCAAGCGUUACUCGGAUUUAUUGGGUGUAAAGGACAGGCAGGCGUUCUGCCAAGUUAGAAGUGAAAUCCUAAGGCUUAACCUUAGAACUGCUUCUAAAACUGGCGGAAUUGAGGCUAGGAGAGGAGAGCGGAAUUCCCGGUGUAAGGGUGAAAUCUGUAGAUAUCGGGAGGAACACCAGUGGCGAAAGCGGCUCUCUAGUCUAGCUCUGACGCUAAACUGUGAAAGCUCGGGUAGCAAACAGGAUUAGAAACCCUCGUAGUCC
rnacentral:rRNA from 1 species